CGCGGCAACCGCGGGCGCAGCCGCUCGCCCCCCUGGUGCCGCCCCCAACGAGCCCUUCAUCUGCAGCUUCGAGAAGGACAUGACAGUGAUCUUCAGAAGGAGGGAGGUUGCGAUCUUGUUCAGAAUUCUGUUGAGUGGAUAAAAAUUGUUUCCUCGGCACCAGAUGUCAUAGGCAUGACAUUUCUCCCUAUUGUUUCACUCGUUGAUGAUAUACCUGGGAAGAAGCACAUUGCUCGUGCCAUUAAUCUAUACUUAACACAUGCACCUGAUUCCCUUUUUGGACUGUAUUCUCAAAGCCCAUCCGCCAUAAACCUGAGCUGUUGUUUUAAAUUAUAUUGCCAUCUAUAUAUUAUAGUAGCAGAGUCUCUGCACAAUUAUUCUAUUUGAAGUAUGUAUUCAAAAAUAUGUUUUAGUAAGGGUGAUGUAUUGAUGAUCAAGAUAGACACAUCUUUCCUACAGUUAGAAUGUCGAUCGUGAUUAAAUAGGCAGCUCAAUACAGUAGUAUAGCUAUUGAAGGACGCGGAUUUGGUGAAAACGGUUCCACGCGCACCCCUUAUGAAUAGUAAAUUCAAAAAAAUUACUACAACAACAACAAAAAAUCCUUUAGUCCCAAACAAGUUGGGGUAGGCUAGACGUAAACCCAAAAAAUCUGAAUAUUUUUUCUAACGUACUUAGUCAACCGAUAUACCCUCAUAUGAAGUUUCACAAAGAAAUUACAUCCUUGCUAUCCGGGCAGAAAUGACAAAAUCGUAGCUUCAUGUGUAGAUUGCAGUCACAAUGGCGAGCUGUCCGGCCAUGUCUGCAAGGCCAAAGCAGCAGAGUUGAAGGAGAUCUUAUGGAUCAAGGUGAGUAUGGAGAGAGAAAGGUUGAAGACGUGCAAUGGAAAAUUGUUAUUAGAUUUGCUUAAGAAUUGCCUUAUUCAAACAAAAUUGAAGCAUAUUACGUGUUGAAGCA